rnacentral:rRNA from 1 species
UAGGGAAUCUUCCGCAAUGGACGCAAGUCUGACGGAGCAACGCCGCGUGAGUGAAGAAGGAUUUCGGUUCGUAAAACUCUGUUGUUAGAGAAGAACAGCGCAUAGAGUAACUGUUAUGCGUGUGACGGUAUCUAACCAGAAAGCCACGGCUAACUACGUGCCAGCAGCCGCGGUAAUACGUAGGUGGCAAGCGUUGUCCGGAUUUAUUGGGCGUAAAGCGAGCGCAGGCGGUCAAUUAAGUCUGAUGUGAAAGCCCCCGGCUCAACCGGGGAGGGUCAUUGGAAACUGGUUGACUUGAGUGCAGAAGAGGAGAGUGGAAUUCCAUGUGUAGCGGUGAAAUGCGUAGAUAUAUGGAGGAACACCAGUGGCGAAGGCGACUCUCUGGUCUGUAACUGACGCUGAUGUGCGAAAGCGUGGGGAUCAAACAGG